rnacentral:rRNA from 1 species
AUUGAACGCUGGCGGCAUGCCUUACACAUGCAAGUCGAACGGCAGCACGGGAGCAAUCCUGGUGGCGAGUGGCGAACGGGUGAGUAAUAUAUCGGAACGUGCCCAGUCGUGGGGGAUAACGCAGCGAAAGCUGUGCUAAUACCGCAUACGAUCCAUGGAUGAAAGCGGGGGAUCGCAAGACCUCGCGCGAUUGGAGCGGCCGAUAUCAGAUUAGCUAGUUGGUGGGGUAAAAGCCCACCAAGGCGACGAUCUGUAGCUGGUCUGAGAGGCCGACCAGCCACACUGGAACUGAGACGCGGUCCAGACUCCUCCGGGGGGCAGCAGUUGGGAAUUGUGGACAAUGGGCGGAAGCCUGAUCCAGCAAUGCCGCGUGCAGGAUGAAGGCCUUCGGGUUGUAAACUGCUUUUGUACGGAACGAAACGGCGAGCUCUAAUAAAGUUUGCUAAUGACGGUACCGUAAGAAUAAGCACCGGCUAACUACGUGCCAGCAGCCGCCGUAA